rnacentral:rRNA from 1 species
CAGCUCGUGUCGUGAGAUGUUGGGUUAAGUCCCGCAACGAGCGCAACCCCUAUCGUUAGUUACCAUCAUUAAGUUGGGGACUCUAGCGAGACUGCCUGCGAUGAGCAGGAGGAAGGUGGGGAUGACGUCAAGUCAUCAUGCCCCUUAUGAACUGGGCUACACACGUGCUACAAUGGGGAGUACAAAGAGUCGCAAGCUGGUGACAGCAAGCUAAUCUCAAAAAGCUCCUCUCAGUUCGGAUUGUAGUCUGCAACUCGACUACAUGAAGUUGGAAUCGCUAGUAAUCGCAAAUCAGCAACGUUGCGGUGAAUACGUUCUCGGGUCUUGUACACACCGCCCGUCACACCACGAGAGUUGGUUGCACCUGAAGUAGCAGGCCUAACCGUAAGGAGGGAUGUUCCUAAGGUGUGAUUAGCGAUUGGGGUGAAGUCGUAACAAGGUAACC